rnacentral:tRNA from 1 species
UGGUGUAGGGGUAUCACGUCUGCUUCGCAUGCAGAAGGCCCCGGGUUCAAUUCCCGG